rnacentral:rRNA from 1 species
UACGGAGGGUGCAAGCGUUGUUCGGAAUCACUGGGCGUAAAGGGCUUGUAGGCGGUCCGCUAAGUCUGAUGUGAAAGCCCGAGGCUUACCCUCGGAAGUGCAUUGGAGACUGGCGGACUGGAGUCCCGGAGAGGAGGGUGGAAUUCCUGGUGUAGCGGUGAAAUGCGUAGAUAUCAGGAGGAACACCGGUGGCGAAGGCGGCCCUCUGGACGGUGACUGACGCUGAGACGCGAAAGCGUGGGGAGCAAACAGG